rnacentral:rRNA from 1 species
UGGGGAAUUUUGGACAAUGGGCGAAAGCCUGAUCCAGCAAUGCCGCGUGUGUGAAGAAGGCCUUCGGGUUGUAAAGCACUUUUGUCCGGAAAGAAAUCCUUGGCUCUAAUACAGUCGGGGGAUGACGGUACCGGAAGAAUAAGCACCGGCUAACUACGUGCCAGCAGCCGCGGUAAUACGUAGGGUGCAAGCGUUAAUCGGAAUUACUGGGCGUAAAGCGUGCGCAGGCGGUUUGCUAAGACCGAUGUGAAAUCCCCGGGCUCAACCUGGGAACUGCAUUGGUGACUGGCAGGCUAGAGUAUGGCAGAGGGGGGUAGAAUUCCACGUGUAGCAGUGAAAUGCGUAGAGAUGUGGAGGAAUACCGAUGGCGAAGGCAGCCCCCUGGGCCAAUACUGACGCUCAUGCACGAAAGCGUGGGGAGCAAACAGGAUUAGAUACCCCUGGUAGUCCACGCCCUAAACGAUGUCAACUAGUUGUUGGGGAUUCAUUUCCUUAGUAACGUAGCUAACGCGUGAAGUUGACCGCCUGGGGAGUACGGUCGCAAGAUUAAAACUUAAAGGAAUUGACGGGGUCAUAGCUGUUUCCU